UACAGAGGGCCCAAGCGUUGUUCGGAUUCACUGGGCGUAAAGGGUGCGUAGGCGGUCGGGUAAGUCUGAUGUGAAAUCUCACAGCUUAACUGUGAAACUGCAUUGGAUACUAUCCGGCUAGAGGAAUGGAGGGGAGACUGGAAUACUUGGUGUAGCAGUGAAAUGCGUAGAUAUGUGGAAGAAUACCGAUGGCGAAGGCAGCCCCCUGGUCAGAUACUGACGCUGAGGCACGAAAGCGUGGGGAGCAAACAGG
rnacentral:rRNA from 1 species